ensembl:lncRNA
CUGGGCAAGCCUUUUAAAAAUAUCAAGUAAACAGAAAAAAAAAAGAAAGAAAAAGAAAAAAGAAAAACCUUAGUAAAGAUAAUUCCUCAAGAUUUAUGCCAUUGUCUUUAUUACAUUGUGAAGAGAAAGAUGGUAAAGGAGAAAAAGAAGGAAAGUAAAUACUUUAAAAAUCAUUCCUUUAACAUUUGUAAUGCUGGCUACAAAGAAGCUGACUGCCAGACAAUAAACAGGCCCAGCAAUAACUGCAGGUGGCUGAUCUGUGUGUACUCAGGAGGCUUCUGUCAGUACCUCAUCAGACACAGACCCAUAUCCAAUUCAGCAAGAGUGGAGUGGACUUACA